UGGUCAAGUUAUUAAGGGUGCAGGGCGGAUGCCUUGGCACUAGGAGCCGAUGAAGGACGUGAUAAGCUGCGAUAAGCUUCGGGGAGUUGCACGUAAACUUUGAUCCGAAGAUUUCCGAAUGAGGAAACUCACUUAGAGUAAUGUCUAAGUAUCAUUAAGUGAAUACAUAGCUUAAUGAGGGGAACUCAGGGAACUGAAACAUCUAAGUACCUGAAGGAAGAGAAAGAAAUUCGAUUCCGUAAGUAGCGGCGAGCGAACGCGGAUUAGCCCAAACCAAUAAAGUUUUCUUUAUUGGGGUUGCGGACAUAUCAUAACGAAGAGAUAUCGUAAUUGAAGAGGUUUGGAAAGACCCACCAC
rnacentral:rRNA from 1 species